rnacentral:rRNA from 1 species
GAUGAACGCUGGCGGCGUGCCUAAUACAUGCAAGUCGAGCGAACGGACGAGAAGCUUGCUUCUCUGAUGUUAGCGGCGGACGGGUGAGUAACACGUGGAUAACCUACCUAUCAGACUGGGAUAACUUCGGGAAACCGGAGCUAAUACCGGAUAAUAUUUUGAACCGCAUGGUUCAAAAGUGAAAGACGGUCUUGCUGUCCCUUAUAGAUGGAUCCGCGCUGCAUUAGCUAGUUGGUAAGGUAACGGCUUACCAAGGCAACGAUGCAUAGCCGACCUGAGAGGGUGAUUGGCCACACUGGAACUGAAACACGGUCCAGACUCCUACGGGAGGCAGCAGUAGGGAAUCUUCCGCAAUGGGCGAAAGCCUGACGGAGCAACGCCGCGUGAGUGAUGAAGGUCUUCCGAUCGUAAAACUCUGUUAUUAGGGAAGAACAUAUGUGUAAGUAACUGUGCACAUCUUGACGGUACCUAAUCAGAAAGCCACGGCUAACUACGUG